GAAGAAAUAGACGGCGGCAAAGACAUGCAACACGACCCAGCCUUGACGCAAUUGCUCCACUGUGCGGAGUAGAAGAGUGUUAAGUUUUGACAUUUACAUGCAGACACCAUAUAACAGAGUAUCAUACAUUACGAGCGUGCGAACUCGUGGUAAAUGAAAACAAUAACAUCGAAUAACGUAAAUUUAAGGCGUCGUUGUAAACAAACAAGGAAAUAAUAAGCUGUUUAAAAAUAAGUGAAUUUUGAUUAAUUUCGAGUUAAUGUUGUGUUGUGAGUGUGAUUUAAAGUGCAUAAUAUAUAAAAAAAGUUUAUAAUAGUGUAAUAAGAAUAGUGUAAUAAAAUGAAAGUGAAAAUGUGUGAAACACGUGCGCGAAAGUAGCUGGGAAAUUGGCUUAAACAUUCUGCGGUAACUGCGGCAGUUCUGUGCGCAAACGACUUACAUACUUUGUGGACCUACUGAAUGAAAUUGAAAUGCUAAAAUAUGUAGUAAAAGAGCAGUUAAUUCGUGUUGGUGCAGCGUAAUUUAGAGCGCAUAUUAUUUUGUGCAACAUAACCUUAAUGCAGUUAACUAGCAGCUGGGUUAGCGCACUUUGUACGCAUUAUCGGUACAUUUGUAAUGAUAAACUAGAAUUGCGGCAGUGCUUAAAGUAUGCUUGAAACUUUUUACAAAAAGACUGAGGUUUACUUUUUUUGCUGGUUAUUUAUUUACUCCGGCACAUAAGCAACAAAGCUUGAGUUAAGCAAUAAGCAGCAAGUGUGAAGGCAGCGACACUUUAUUAAGACGCAAAACAAAGUAACCCUGAGUAUUUCACAACUAGAUGUCGCGCUUGUGUAAGCAAACUGACAGUUAACGGAAAUUAAAUUUGUGGUGUCAUGCAAUUAGACAUUUUUUACAUUCUCUAAACAUUUAAAUCUAUUUUAUUAAAAGUGAGUAUAAUUUUCAUUCAAAGCUUGUUAAAACUGGUUAAGGUGGCUUAAAGUGUGUAAAUAAGAAGCAGAAAUUGUGAAGUAAUCAGAAAAAGUGAUUUAAGUGCAAUAGCAAAGCGCCCAGCAGGCAUAAGUGCCACGAUGUGCUGCUUUAUGUGCUAAAACUGUCAACAGGAGUAGAAGCAAAACCUUUUUUUUCUAACAUUUACGCUUCUGUAGAGUAAAUUUGUUGUAAAGUACAUUAAAUAUUAUUAAGUAUUCAUCAUGAAUACUCGAAAGUGUUACAUCUUAAUUAUAGUGUGCAUGCACGACCAAAUAGUGUGUGAAGGUGUGCAGAACUGUUGGCGCGGUGCUGCAACUCAUACUUACUCAGUUACUACCAACACGGCAGCAUUUAAAACACUGGAGCAUCUGAAACGACUCACGCUUUUUAUAGUAUGCCAUGGUCUAGCCGCUUGUUGUUGUAUGAUCACUGCACUACAUUUGGAGUAUGGAGCUUUAAGCUCAUGAUAUUACUAGAAAUCGUUUGAGCCGAUACCGUCAUUGAGCUUUUUGUUGUCCAGUUAGGUUAGCAUAAAGAGCACACCGUUAUUUUGGAGCAAAAAUUCCGCAUAACAACUAGUCUUCAAUUCUUCAAUGUACUUAAAGAAAAAUCAUCAUAACGAUUAGCAAGUCCAUAUUCUUCGAGAGUGCCGAUAAUUACUGUUAGCAGACAACUUUUUCGAUGCCAAAACUUUGUGAGGUGGUCUGUAUCAGACUUGUUGAGCUGCUGAAGAGUUGUUGUACUACUGAAUUAAUUAAAGAGAACUAGAAGUAAGCUGUCCUAGAGCUGUUUUCACCAUCAUAAUGCUCUUAUUUUGUCCAGCACUGUAUGUUUCGUUUCAUGACGACGAAUGAGCUUUUCCGUCCAACCGUGGUAAUUUAAGUUCCGCGAAAGUCUCGGGUACUUCCGGAACAGUUAACGGAAAUACUAAGCCUAAAAAUAGCAGUAAAAAAACCUAAGCUUGCCCUAAUUAUAUGAAACAGGACGAAAGUGAACACAUAAAGGAUAAUAAAAUAAAAAAUUUAUAAAAUUGCAAAAAAUAGUAAACAGAAAUGUUAAUUUGUAAGGAAUGAAAAAAAAAUUAUUUUUGAAAUUUUUUUUUAAUUUUUUUGCAUAAAUUUUUUUAAAAACACAUAUUUGUAUAUAAAAAUCAAUAAGCUUGAGUAAAAAAAUACAAAUUUUUAUGAAAUGAAAAAAUUAAAAUAUUUUAGAUAUUUUUAAGCAUA